ACCUUUUAAAUUAGUGAAGGUGUCAAUGUAGUUAUUAUAGUGUUUCUUUUUUUUUUUCUUUUUUUUUUUUUUCUUUUUUCUGUGAACAGCAGAAAACUUUGCUAACCUUUUGUUAUAUUCAAUUGCGCUGUUUGUCUUUCAGACCAAGACACGGUAACUAAAUCCAGGAAACUACAUUUUUGUGCUAACGUUUUUGUGCUAAUGUGAAGUUACACUGAAAUCAGUGAGGACUGGAUAUGUGCAAAUGUGUUUGGUUGCUAGGUUGGUCUCAACCUGUUUUGUUUGAAGAAAUAUUAAUAUAAGGAAAUCACAGUGCCAUCUUAUGAGAUUUCUUCCCAAUGAAUGCACAAGUAAAGAAAUCCUGAGCAGCCAUGACAGAAUACUUGAAGACCAAGCUGGACAAGCAUGAAAAUAACAGGUGCAUGGUACAACAACUUCAGAAGUGUAUUUAAAAGAGUACAUGUUUUAACAGGAGAAUAAACAAACAUACUCCACUAUUUAGUGCUCCA
rnacentral:lncRNA from 1 species